UUCUAGGAUUGAAAUUCAGUAAUUAAACUUUGAACAUUGAAACUGGCUGGGGAAAAUGAUUGGAUAGAAAAUGAAUUUCUAUUCAUUUAAUCCCCAGCCUACAAAU
rnacentral:snoRNA from 1 species